GCCGAAUAGGAACAGCUCCGGUCUGCAGCUCCCAGCGUGAGCGACGCAGAAGACGGGUGAUUUCUGCAUUUCCAUCUGAGUUUCCUCAUGUGAUGUAAAGGCUGCUCAACCCCUCACCUAAAAUCAGUAUAUUCAGACAAGAAGGAAGAAGACAGAGCAGAAAAGGAGGGGAAAAACAAGGAGAAGGAGGAUGAAGAAGAGGAUGUGAUGGUGGUGGUAAUAAGGAGAAAUAGGCAAUGCCUUUAACAGGAAAGGACCUGUCCCUAAACCCCAGUAGACAGCUAUUUACAUCUUCUUUAGAAGGCUGUAUCUUAUGGACAUAUUUGCUGCAAGAAAGGCUAGGAAAUGAUUUCUAAAGCUGGACAUAUUGUUACCUUAAGC
rnacentral:lncRNA from 1 species